AUUGAACGCUGGCGGCAGGCCUAACACAUGCAAGUCGAGCGGAUGAGGGUAGCUUGCUAUCUGAUUCAGCGGCGGACGGGUGAGUAAUGCCUAGGAAUCUGCCUGGUAGUGGGGGACAACGUUUCGAAAGGAACGCUAAUACCGCACACGUCCUACGGGAGAAAGUGGGGGAUCUUCGGACCUCACGCUAUCAGAUGAGCCUAGGUACGAUUAGCUAGUUGGUGAGGUAAAGGCUCACCAAGGCGACGAUCGUUAACUGGUCUGAGAGGAUGAUCAGUCACACUGGAACUGAGACACGGUCCAGACUCCUACGGGAGGCAGCAGUGGGGAAUAUUGGACAAUGGGCGAAAGCCUGAUCCAGCCAUGCCGCGUGUGUGAAGAAGGUCUUCGGAUUGUAAAGCACUUUAAGUUGGGAGGAAGGGCAGUAAGUUAAUACCUUGCUGUUUUGACGUUACCGACAGAAUAAGCACCGGCUAACUUCGUGCCAGCCGCCGCAGUAACAC
rnacentral:rRNA from 1 species